GCCCAGAUAGCUCAGUCGGUAGAGCGCAAGGCUUUUAACCUUGUGGUCCUGGGUUCGAGCUCAAAUAUACA